rnacentral:tRNA from 1 species
AUACUUAGCUCAGCUAGUUCAGAGCGUCCCGAUUGACAUCGGGAGAAGUCACUGGUUCGAACCCAAUAGCUACCA